UACGUAGGUGGCAAGCGUUGUCCGGAUUUACUGGGUGUAAAGGGCGUGUAGCCGGGCUGACAAGUCAGAUGUGAAAUCCGGGGGCUCAACCCCCGAACUGCAUUUGAAACUGUUGGUCUUGAGUAUCGGAGAGGCAGGCGGAAUUCCUAGUGUAGCGGUGAAAUGCGUAGAUAUUAGGAGGAACACCAGUGGCGAAGGCGGCCUGCUGGACGGCAACUGACGGUGAGGCGCGAAAGCGUGGGGAGCAAACAGG
rnacentral:rRNA from 1 species